AUUGAACGCUGGCGGCAGGCCUAACACACGCAAGUCGAGCGGAUGAAGGGAGCUUGCUCCUGGAUUCAGCGGCGGACGGGUGAGUAAUGCCUAGGAAUCUGCCUGGUAGUGGGGGAUAACGUCCGGAAACGGGCGCUAAUACCGCAUACGUCCUGAGGGAGAAAGUGGGGGAUCUUCGGACCUCACGCUAUCAGAUGAGCCUAGGUCGGAUUAGCUAGUUGGUGGGGUAAAGGCCUACCAAGGCGACGAUCCGUAACUGGUCUGAGAGGAUGACCAGUCACACUGGAACUGAGACACGGUCCAGACUCCUACGGGAGGCAGCAGUGGGGAAUAUUGGACAAUGGGCGAAAGCCUGAUCCAGCCAUGCCGCGUGUGUGAAGAAGGUCUUCGGAUUGUAAAGCACUUUAAGUUGGGAGGAAGGGCAGUAAGUUAAUACCUUGCUGUUUUGACGUUACCAACAGAAUAAGCACCGGCUAACUUCGUG
rnacentral:rRNA from 1 species